rnacentral:rRNA from 1 species
UACAGAGGGUGCGAGCGUUGUCCGGAAUCACUGGGCGUAAAGGGCUCGUAGGCGGUUUGUCGCGUCGGGAGUGAAAACUCAGGGCUCAACCCUGAGCGUGCUUCCGAUACGGGCAGACUAGAGGUAUGCAGGGGAGAACGGAAUUCCUGGUGUAGCGGUGGAAUGCGCAGAUAUCAGGAGGAACACCGGUGGCGAAGGCGGUUCUCUGGGCAUGACCUGACGCUGAGGAGCGAAAGCAUGGGGAGCGAACAGG